rnacentral:rRNA from 1 species
UACGUAGGGUGCAAGCGUUGUCCGGAAUUAUUGGGCGUAAAGAGCUCGUAGGCGGUCUGUCGCGUCUGCUGUGAAACUCAGGGCUUAACCCUGAGCUUGCAGUGGGUACGGGCAGACUAGAGUGCGGUAGGGGAGACUGGAAUUCCUGGUGUAGCGGUGAAAUGCGCAGAUAUCAGGAGGAACACCGGUGGCGAAGGCGGGUCCCUGGGCCGUAACUGACGGCUGAGGAGCGAAAGCAUGGGGAGCCGAACAGG